ACAGGAGAGAAGGCCAUGUGAAGACGGAGGCAGAGAUCAGAGUGAUGCAGCUAUAAGCCACGGAACACCAAGGGUUGCCGGCCACCAUCAGAAGCUAAAAAGAGCAGCUGGAAACGUCUGGUGGAAUUACCAUCCCUCCCCUAACCAAGCACAGUAGAGUCCCUCCUUCCCAGGGACCCUCCAAGUGCUGAGUGAUGCCUUCUCUUCUCCCAUUCCCGCUCUGCCUCUGGUGGGCAGCAGACCCAGCCUGAAAUGUCCUACAGCCACCUUCCCAGCUGCAGCUACAUGGAGCCACAGGACUCAUGUAAAGGAAGUCAUCAUUCUGCUAUCCCACUUAGUCUUCUAAGUAAAAUACGUCCCAAAGCAUUACACGUCAAGCCUGAAGAUGGAAAGUUUGGGGAAAAAAACAUGACAUUGAGUACAAGUAGAGGUCACUAAAACCAACAAAUCAACCAGUAUUGCAGAUUAUCCAAUUAGCAAAGAUAAAUACUAAAACCCAUUGGAGACACUUCUGCUUCCAGUCAAGGAGGAAUAACAGGAAUUGGAUUUAUCCUCCAGGCUAGAAAAAAAAAAGGUAAGUUAUAUGAAAUAAUUAUUUACAAAACACUGGAUAUUAGGCAAUGAAAAACAGUGAGUGGCAAGAAAA
ensembl:lncRNA novel transcript